GUCUCUUUGUUUUUAUUUUAUAAAGAGUCUAACCUGCCCAGUGAUAUAUAUUUUAACGGCCGCGGUACUCUGACCGUGCAAAGGUAGCAUAAUCAUUUGCCUUAUAAUUGAAGGCUUGUAUGAAUGGUUUGACGAGAAUUAACCUGUCUCUUAUAAAUUAAAAUGAAAUUGACUUUUAAGUGUAAAGGCUUAAAUUUUACUAAUAGACAAGAAGACCCUAUUGAGCUUUAAAGAUCUAUGAUAGCAUACGAUGUAUUAGAAUAAGAUUAUAAGUUAUUAAAGUUUUUAGUUGGGGCGACUAUUGGAACAAAUGAAACUUCCAGAGUUUUAUGAUAUUUAAUAUUAACUUAUUUAAAUUGAUCCAAAAUGUUUUGAUUAAUAGAAUAAGUUACCAUAGGGAUAACAGCAUAAUCUAUCUUAAGAGUUCUAAUCGAAAGAAAGGUUUGUGACCUCGAUGUUGGAUUAAAAUAUCCUAAGGGUGUAGAAGUUCUUAAGGGUUGGUCUGUUCGACCAUUAAAAUUUU
rnacentral:rRNA from 1 species